ensembl:processed_transcript
AUGUUGGUGGUGUUACUGAUCCUGCAUGCCGUGUCCUGUGCCCAUUCUCACGGGUCGCCGGGUGCCGCUGUGCCUGUGAAGCAGUGUCCGUCUGCUUGCCAGUGUGAGGAGGAUGGCAUCCUGCUUCUGGUGGACUGCUCCGAACAAGGACUAUCCAGCGUGCCAACUGAUCUGAGUCCUUUGACGUCUUACCUGGAUCUCAGCAUGAACAAUAUCAGCGAGAUUCAGCCCAACGCUUUCCGCAACCUGCACUUCCUCAGUGAACUAAGACUCUCGGGCAACCACCUGAGACACAUCCCUGGCCCCAUGCUCCAAGGCCUCUACAACCUCAAAGUCCUGAUGUUGCAGAAUAACCAGUUAGAGCGAUUGCCCAGUGAAGACCCAUGGGAAUUACCCAAUUUGCUGUCUCUGCGUCUGGAUGCCAACCUGAUUAUGGAGGUGCCGGCGAGGACCCUCUCGGGUAUGCGGUCCCUGCGGCACUUGUGGCUUGAUGAUAAUGCCCUGACAGAGAUCCCAGUGAGCGCCCUCAACGACCUCUCCUCGCUCCAAGCUAUGACCCUUGCCCUAAACCGCAUCACCCUCAUCCCAGACUAUGCCUUCAGGAACCUAUCGAAUCUAGUUGUCCUCCAUCUUCACAACAACAUGAUCCGGACCCUUGGACAGAACUGCUUUGAGGGACUGCACAGCCUCGAGACCCUGGAAUUGAACUUUAAUGACCUUCAAGAGUUCCCCGUGGCCAUUCGCACACUGGCCAAGCUUCAGGAACUGGGAUUCCACAACAAUAACAUUAAGGCCAUUCCUGAGAGAGCGUUUGUGGGGAACCCACUUCUGCAGACCAUUCAUUUCUAUGAGAAUCCCAUUCAGUUUGUUGGCAGAUCAGCAUUUCAGUUCUUGCCAAAGCUGCACACACUCUCUUUGAACGGGGCCACUGAGAUCCGAGAGUUUCCAGAUCUGAAAGGAACCACCAGUCUGCAAGUUCUUACACUGACCCGCGCUGGAUUGACCAGCCUGCCAUAUGAUCUCUGCCACCUGCUGCCGAAAUUAAAAGUGCUGGAAUUGUCUCACAAUGUCAUCGAAGAGCUGCCAAGUUUUUACCACUGCACUUCUCUUCAAGAGAUAGGCCUGCAGCACAAUCUGAUCAAACAGAUUGAGAUGAACACAUUCCAGCAGCUCGGCUCUCUGCGCUCUCUGGACCUAAGCUGGAACAGCAUCAACUCUAUCCACCCCGAUGCCUUUUUCUCUCUUCAGUCUCUCAUUAAACUAGAUCUCACUGGGAAUCGACUGAGUAAUUUGCCGAUGACUGGACUGACAAGUCUUACUCAUCUCAAACUGAAAGGCAACAUGGCACUGUCACGUUCCUUCGGAUUGGAGGACUUCCCCAACAUAAGGGUCAUCGAGAUGCCAUAUGCCUAUCAGUGCUGUGUUUUUGGAGGCUGUAGCAGUUACAGAUCUGCCAGCCAGUGGGAAGAACAGAUGGGCAGUGAAGAGGAAGAUUUCCAGAAGAAAUCUCCGUCCCUGUUCCCCAUACACACUGACAACAACUAUGACCUUGACUUAGAAGAAUUCCAGUUAGCGAUUGAAGAGUCCAAGCUACAGACCAGCAUACAGUGCACCCCCAUCCCAGGUCCAUUCAAACCAUGUGAUAACCUGUUUGACAGUUGGGUGGUACGACUUGGCAUGUGGCUCAUUUCUUUGGUCUCGCUGAUGGGAAACAGCCUUCUGAUCCUGACAGUCUUCACAUCCCCCAGCUAUCUCUCUCCUGUUAAGUUCAUCAUUGGAACCAUCAGUGGUGCCAACCUGCUAACAGGCCUAUGCACUGGAACCUUAGCUUUAGUUGAUGCCCGGACAUUUGGAGAGUUUGCCCUGCAUGGCGCUCAGUGGGAAAUGGGUGCAGGUUGCCGAGCAGUAGGCUUUCUUUCAGUGCUGGCCUCAGAGGGCUCCAUACUCUUCCUGACUUUGGCCGCAGUGCAGUGCAGUGUGUCUGUCUCAUGUGCCCGCGCUUACGGAAAGUCACCAUCUUUGGGAAGUGUCCGAGCCGCUGCAGUUGCAUGCUUGGCACUUUCGCUUGCAGUCGCUGCUUUGCCACUAAUUGGGGUCGGAGAGUACGGGGCAACUCCACUCUGCAUGCCAUCACCCCUACCAGAUGGAGAACCUUCCACACUGGGAUUCAUGGUUGCUCUCAUAAUGAUGAACUCUUUGUGUUUCCUGGUGAUCACUGGAACUUACAUCAAGUUGUACUGGGACCUGAUGAAGGGCGACUUUGACAGCAUUUGGGAUUGUGCCAUGAUUAAGCAUGUGGCCUGGCUCAUCUUCACCAACUGCCUGCUCUACUGCCCCGUUGCCUUCCUCACCUUCUCCUCCCUUCUAAGCCUCUUUCCGGUAAGUGAGGAGGUUGUCAAAUCUGUCGUCCUAGUGCUUUUGCCUCUUCCAGCAAGCAUCAACCCUUUGCUGUACCUUCUCUUCAAUCCACACUUCCGUGAAGACAUGCGUCUCCUUUUGAGCAGAGCUCACCUCAAUCAUGAUCGCAACCUGGAUUCCUUUGUCUCAGUUGACACAGAGAAAAGCUCCUAUGACUCCACUCAAGCCCUGGUGUCUUUUGCCACUGAAGCAGAUGGAGUGUUUGAAAGUUUGUCAGUCCCAAACCCUGAGACAGUUGCCCGGUUUACAUGCCCACCCUCAGUGGCUCUGAUUCCAUGCCAGAUGCAGAUGAAACCAUCAACAGACAGGGAGAACACUGGAGAGAAUCUGAUCAGAUCAGCACCAGGACUCAUUGCCAAAGAGCAGGAGCACAUUAGAAGCAGUGGAGUGGACACUCAGAAUGGCACCUCCAUCUUCUCUGGAGCAUACCACUCCACAGGUCCUUCAGCUCAUUCUCAGGUCUUUACCUAA